rnacentral:lncRNA from 1 species
AGCGGAUGUUGGGUUAUGAUGAACUCGUUACUCCUGUAGUAGCCCAUGAUAUAAGAGGCAUUAAUGUAAUCAGUUCCCUUCAUUCCAGGCAGUGGUGCCAAGCCCACUCUAGCACGCUCAGAUGGCACGACUGAUGAGUUCCUGUUCUUCUCUUUGUUGCAGUCUUUCUGAGCACUGAAGCAUUCCACAUAUUUUGCAUUACACUGUGUAACCAGCUUGAACUGUUUUUCUAAUCGUGUCUUUCCC